CUCCUUGAUAUUUUUGCUAGGUUGUGGCUAUGGGAUGGCGCUGCCGCCGCCGCCAUCACGGGACCACAGUUCCAUGCCUCCGCCGUCCAACGUCUUGCCCCUUCCCGUUCUAGGGCUUCCACAAGUCAACAUCGCACCUCCUCCCCACCAGAGAACAUGUAGCAGUAGGAGCAGAGAGGAAUCGGGGGCAGGGUUCGCCGGAAGCACCUCCCUGGGACAAUCCCCAUGGCGACCAAGCGCAUAACCAGCACGCGGCAGUCGCUCAUGGCCAGCCAACAAAGGCCCGACAGGGAAGUAGAAGGACGCCGGCGCCAGCGCUGGCCUCCCCUGUGUGAGAGGAAACAGACGGGUGCUCGGGGACAUCGGCGACGUUCUCCACGUGAACGUCCUCGACGGCAAGAUCCAACUGCCGACGGGGAUCAAUCACCCAAUCACCAGGAGCUUCGGCGCCAACCUCUUGAAGAAGGCUCAGGCCGAUCCAUCUAAGGUAUGAACAACACCCCCUUUUCCGCUCAUACAGGCUUUCGAAAGCAAUUUCCUAUAGAUGACAUCAACAUUUUGAUCCUGCACUUGCAGAUGACAUCAACAUUUUGAUCCUACACUUGCAGGAGUUCUUGGGUUCUUCUUAAUUUACCAUUGCUGGAGGAACUAGACCAACACUCUAGGUAGUAUCGCUAAUAGAGUGGUGCGUUAAGUGGAUGAGCAGGAUAGGUAGAUAACUUACUUUGCAAGCAAAAUUCUAGGUGUGAAUGCACUGUUUUGUUGGGGUUUCAGCAUUCAACGUUUUCAUAUUACCAUACAUUAUGUACUUAGAUAUAUAUCUCAAUACCAUUCAUUCCUUGACUCUAAUGGCGGGGUUAGUGUGUUUCCUCUGCGACCAAUGCAAGGACUGUGCUGGCCAUACUUCUUAGAUAUCUCACUACUAAUGCAAUGCAUCUACUCGAGGCAAGGUUGGCACUGUUGCCUUGAGGAUAUCUGAUUGGAGAACACCAUCAUCCUCCCCUUGGUCUUUGAUGUCUUGGUAGAGUGGUGGAUCACGAGCAAGGUCCUCAUUUCAAAGAAGAAGAGACUUGGAGAUGGUGAAGAAGUUGGUUGGAAAGAGCAAAAAAGAAGCAGGCUGGACUUAAGGUCGACAACUUGAUGUGCAUGAGGAGUAGGCAUAGGCGAGCAUGGCUGCACAGAGCAGUGACAUUAGCCGGUGACCGGCCAGCACGGCCUCGACGAGGAUGCUCCACCCCAUGCUUGCCAUUGUUCUGCACCACCGAGAUGAAGAAGUUGUCUGGCUUACCAGCCGCCUGAGCACCCAGAUCUUCGCGCCCGACUAUUGAAGAAGCCUUGGGCUGAUUAAGCUAUCCCAAACAAGGUACAUACAUCCCCGUUGGCCAAGGUUCACAGAUUUUUAAAUUAAAUAUGUGCUAAAAAUUCACCAUUAUAUCUGUGGUUAUCAUCUGAAAUUAAAUAUGUAGCUGUGACCUACUCCCUCCGUCCCAAAAUAAGUGUCUCAACUUUAGUACAACUUUGUACUGAAGUUAGUAAAAAGUUGAGACACGUAUUUCGGGACUGAGAGAGUAGAUAAUAUUCAGAGACUAUUUCUCAUUAUUGUCCAAAA